UGGAGGGAAUCGGCUGAUACACACUGAUUCAACCAACAAGGAUUACUAACAAUAACUUAAGGGGCACGUUUGAUGAGCAUGAAAUAUCAUACAGCACCCGAACUAAAACUUAAAUUUUGAAAAUUUUUUUAUCACCUUCUCAUUUUUAUGUUAAAUGUUUAGAAAAAAAUUAAUUGUUUUUGUGAGUAAGCGAGACUUCGUGCAAAAGUUGGGGGUAUCAUUGUGGUGUUUGAAAAUUUGAGCGGCUGUGGGCGCCUAUUUAUAAUUUUUUCAAAGUAAGAAUGAAAAGGGGUCACAAUAAAUCAAGAAGUUCAAGAAACACUUCUCAACGGCCAUUCUGUUACGAGGGCUUUCUUUUUCCCGCCGAGUUCCCGGAAAGAAAGCACCCUCUCCUUCUCUCUCGAUGGGAGGAGUUUGGAUCUUCGAUGGCGCGACGAUGGAGGAGGCUGGAUCCUCGAUGGUGCGACGAUGGAGGAGGAUGCAGAUUGCAUCGGUGGGUUGCCGCAGUUCAUCCUUCCAAAUUACGAGCAGCAGCUCCUAUCCAUCAUCCUUCCGCUGGUCGAUCUUUAUGAUCAUUACUUGGAAGGGAAGGGGAGGGGGGGCAUCUAAAAGGUCGAGAGACAGAGUAGCGAAGUGGAGAAGAGUUCGAUCGGCCUCGUCCCUCGCUCGUCGAUCCAUCGAUUCGCGAUUUCACUAUUUAGUGAUCGAUCGAUCGGUCCGUCUCCUUCGCUUUGGAUUACGUGUUCGACGAGACUUGCACGAACUUGAGCGUUUAUGAGCAUCACACGAAGGAUGUCAUCCAAGCGGCAGUCAAGGGAUUCGAUGUGGACUUGAUUGUUUGAAGCUUUCAACAAAUUGUGGGCAGAUCUCGAAGAGGCUGGUCUUGCUGUGAAGAAGGAAUCAUCUACAUCAAGACUACCAAGAUGACAGUGUGGUGGGGAGGUCAUAGAGCCACUCGUCGGUAAGCAGUGGUAUGUAGUCAUGGGGCCUUAGUGCACUGGAAAACGGGGAUAUAUCUAUCAUUCUUGAGAGGUUUGAAAAGGGAAUGAUUUGGGAGCCUUUUGCUACUUUGGGUUGUAUUCAUAUAAUUGACAUGGACAAGUAAGUGCCAAAGAUAUGUCUUUGGUAAGCGGAAUAAAUGCAGUAUCGGGUAAAAGGUCGUGACACCUUUGAAGGUAUAAAUGUAUAUAAAUGACCAAGCAUUGGAAACCACAAUUAUAAAAAUUAAAGAAAAUUUAAAGUCUGGUGCUGGAAAUGCCAACACCAGUGGCUCCGGCGCCAUUAUUGUUCAUGACCUUUCCAACACAAAGCACUUGAAGGGAGAGAGUCCUUUUCUCUCUUUUCCAUUUUCACGGUACAGCCUCUCCUUUCUCUUCCCUUCCAAAAGUAUGGAAGAAAGGCACAUACUUUUUGGCGGGGAAAAGGGUUUGAAGAUCUAGUGAAGGAAGGAGUAAAACCGUGAUUAAUAAACUUUUAAUUCAGAAAUUAAGAUUAGCUAAGUUGGGUAUAUUGAACAUCAAAGUGAUUCUUUUACGUUAAAUAUGUCGAUUUUAAAACGAAAUCUAAUUCCUUUUGAAACAAAAGUUUUUAUUUUCUUAUUGAUGCUCGUUAUUUAACUUUUUCUUAUUAGAUCAAGCGUCCAAUUCUGAAAGCAUCCAAACAUUUUAUCUUUUUAAUGGAUAACUUUACUAGACAUAGAACUGAGUUGAGUUGCAGCUCAUGGCCAAGAGAUUGGAGUAACUUCGGAUUGAUGAAGGCAGAGAGGUAUGUCAUGAAGCAACUUGGCCGUCAAAGGUACAAAAGUCACAACAGUUCUGUUGUAUGUACAUACAACAGCAACUAGGCCUUUAUGGUAGUUUAUGAAUUAAUCUUCAUCUACAUUUGUCUACAAAGCAAACCUAACACUUACCAUGGGAGAGAUGUUGAUUGGAGAAAAAAAGGGGUAUACUAGUCUUGAUCAUACCCCCAAGAUACAGUAAUUGAGAGCAGCACUUAUUAUGACCAUUUCCUUGGUUGAAUGGAAGGCACAAGGUAUUGUCUGCACACUGAUAAUCAGACACCAAUUAAAUAACUCAGUCGACUUAACACCAGCUGACGGAGGUUGAGAGUUCGAUCCUGCGAUAGUCUCUUGGCAUAAUCUGGUAGCUUAAUUUAAUUUACAUCCAAAUUUCACUUAAAUCCAAGAGAUGAAUGUUAGCCCUUGUUUGAAAAAGGAACCGCAGACCUGCCCCUGUCCUUGGACACACUGCUUACUAGGAAGUUGGUGAAUCCAACCCUUUUUCUUCUUGCUUUGUACAGAGGUUUGAAUGUGUGAAUUCUGAAGCACUCAUCGCACAUUCAACCAUGCAUGCUCACACCGAUGAGUAAAAUGAUUAAUUAGCAAAGGUAUGUUAUAACUAGUAUAUAAUAGUCAUCAUCAUGAAGAGACACUAUCCAAAUUCAUAUAGUUUAAUAUGCCUCAAUGGAUUUAUGGCCCAAUUGGCAGCGGAAGGAUGGACAAAUAUCACAAGGGCGAGUGACCCAUCAGUAUUUCUUCCAUGUCCUGGUGUGAAGCAUCAUGACCAUAA